rnacentral:rRNA from 1 species
AGAGUUUGAUCAUGGCUCAGAAGGAACGCUGGCAGCGUGCAUAACACAUGCAAGUCGAACGCGAAAGAAUCCUUCGGGAUUUGGACGAGUGGCGAACGGGUGAGGAACACGUAAGAAUCUACCUUUCGGUUGGGGAUAACUUCUGGAAACGGGAGCUAAUACCCAAUAUGCUGUGGAGUGAAAGAAUUUCGCCGAGAGACGAUCUUGCGUCUGAUUAGCUUGUUGGGGUGGUAAUUGCACACCAAGGCGACGAUAAGUAGCUGGUCUGAGAGGAUGGACAGCCACAUUGGGACUGAGACACGGCCCAGACUCCUACGGGAGGCAGNAGUGGGGAAUUUUCCGCAAUGGACGAAAGUCUGACGGAGCGACGCUGCGUGAUGGAUGAAGGCCCGUGGNUUGUAA